AUACAACUGCCACCGGGUAGAAACUUUGAGUACUUUUGACAAUUCCGUUAGGUCUUAGAAGGGAUUGUUGGGGGUACUCUUUUUGC
rnacentral:ncRNA from 1 species